AAUGAGGCCUGAUUCGUUCAAGAGAAAGCAGUAGGCUACUACUUGUUAAUCACGGAUUUUGGCUGUGGGCCUUGAGCCCAGCUGCAGUUGCGAUGACAGAAGUGUAUUUGGGCCGUUAGAUGGAUCCAUCGGUGUGAUGGGCCUCCGUAACAUUUAAGUAAGGGGAGCUAUAGGGACUUUUCCCCAACCCUCAUGUUUGCGGGAUGGGAGAGGAAAGCGCAACUGUUGAUGGCGGCGCUGGUCGAUCGAUCCGGGAGGCGGAGCUGAUUUAACCGGCAGAUCGAAGGUGAGUUUGGGAACAGUUGGCAGCGCCGUCUUGUUUGAGGGAGGGAGGAUUUUAUCCCUAAGCUAUGGAUGGAGCGAUCUAGUGGAAGGGCAGUUGGAGGCUCCGAUCGGUGAAUCAGAAGGCUGGAGGAGAGGAGCUGCAUCACUGGCCUUAUCCGAUCAACGGUAGCGCGUACAGCGAGUCGGAUCCGAGAGCUUCAUUCCUAGAUCCUGUACUCGACUGAGAGAGGCUAACAGAUAUUUUCUUCUGCGCCUACACCCAACGACGACGCAUCACUCCACAGCUCACAACCAAUAAAAUGAGGACACACAUCAAGCUGCUAUCAAGCCACGCAUUGUCCUUCUCCUUCUAGCUGUCAUUUCCAUUUUGUAGGCUGGCAACAGCAAUCUUUACUGUUUUGACUUCUUCCUGAUGAGAACCGAUGUAUAAAUAUGGGAUUGCUAAAUAAGUCCCCAUAUUUUAUUUUGAACGUUUUAAUAUCAUUGUAAUAUUUGAGUUUGAUAAUGAAAAUGAUGUAAACGCUUCUUGAACAGUAAAAUAAAAUAUUUUAUAAGACACAAAAUUUCACAGAAUUUUCACAGAAUUUUCACACCUUAUUCAAAUGAACAUUAAAAACUGC
rnacentral:lncRNA from 1 species